rnacentral:rRNA from 1 species
GUUUGAUCAUGGCUCAGAACGAACGCUGGCGGCGUGGAUUAGGCAUGCAAGUCGAACGCGAAAGGGGAGCAAUCCCUGAGUAGAGUGGCGAACGGGUGAGUAACGCGUGAGGAACCUGCCUUCAACAGGGGGAUAACACUCCCAACGGGGUGCUAAUACCGCAUGAGACCACGGGAUCGCAUGGUCCUGAGGUCAAAGGUGGCCUCUACUUGUAAGCUACCGGUUGAAGAUGGCCUCGCGUCCCAUUAGCUAGUUGGCGGUGUAAAAGACCACCAAGGCGACGAUGGGUAGCUGGUCUGAGAGGAUGGUCAGCCACACUGGGACUGAGAUACGGCCCAGACUCCUACGGGAGGCAGCAGUCGAGAGGCUUCGGCAAUGGGGGAAACCCUGACCGAGCGACGCCGCGUGAGGGAUGAAGGCCCUUGGGUUGUAAACCUCUUUUGUUCGGGAAGAAAUGCGAUCAGGUGAACAAUCUGGUCGUUUGACGGUACCGGACGAAUAAGCUCCGGCUAACUCCGUGCCAGCAGCCGCGGUAACACGGGGGGAGCAAGCGUUGUUCGGAAUCACUGGGCGUAAAGGGCGUGUAGGCGGUCCGGUAAGUGAGAUGUGAAAUCCCUCGGCUCACCCGAGGACCUGCAUCUCAAACUGCCUGACUCGAGUACGGGAGAGGAUGUGGGAAUUCCUGGUGUAGCGGUGAAAUGCGUAUAUAUCAGGAGGAACACCGGUGGCGAAAGCGCACAUCUGGCCCGAUACUGACGCUGAGGCGCGAAAGCUAGGGGAGCAAACGGGAUUAGAUACCCCGGUAGUCCUAGCCGUAAACGGUGAGCACUAGGUGUUGGAGGCAUCGACCCUCCCAGUGCCGCAGCUAACGCAUUAAGUG